GUCUAUGGCCAUGCCACCCUGAACAAGCCUGAUCCUGUCUGAUCUCGGAAGCUAAGCAGGGCCGGGCCUGGUUAGUACUUGAAUGGGAGACCACCUAGGAAGACCAGGUGCUGUAGGCA
rnacentral:rRNA from 1 species